UACGGAGGGGGCUAGCGUUGUUCGGAAUUACUGGGCGUAAAGCGCGCGUAGGCGGAUUAGUAAGUCAGUGGUGAAAGCCCGGGGCUCAACCUCGGAACUGCCUUUGAUACUGCUAGUCUUGAGUUCGAGAGAGGUGAGUGGAAUUUCUAGUGUAGAGGUGAAAUUCGUAGAUAUUAGAAAGAACACCAGUGGCGAAGGCGGCUCACUGGCUCGAUACUGACGCUGAGGUGCGAAAGCGUGGGGAGCAAACAGG
rnacentral:rRNA from 1 species